GCUCAUACUUCACCUGACUCAGUUGGAGGAGCGUGAGUCUCUUAAUCUCAGGGUGGUGGGUCUGAGCCCCACAUUGGGCA